rnacentral:ncRNA from 1 species
AAAAUGGAGAGUUUGAUCCUGGCUCAGGAUGAACGCUGGCGGUAUGCUUAACACAUGCAAGUCGAACGGUCUUUUCGGAGAUAGUGGCGGACGGGUGAGUAACGCGUAAGAAUCUACCUUCAGGUUGGGGACAACCACUGGAAACGGUGGCUAAUACCCAAUGUGCCGAGAGGUGAAAGGCUUGCUGCCUGAAGAAGAGCUUGCGUCUGAUUAGCUAGUUGGUGGGGUAAGAGCCUACCAAGGCGACGAUCAGUAGCUGGUCUGAGAGGAUGAUCAGCCACACUGGGACUGAGACACGGCCCAGACUCCUACGGGAGGCAGCAGUGGGGAAUUUUCCGCAAUGGGCGAAAGCCUGACGGAGCAAUACCGCGUGAGGGAGGAAGGCUCUUGGGUUGUAAACCUCUUUUCUCAGGGAAGAACAAAAUGACGGUACCUGAGGAAUAAGCAUCGGCUAACUCCGUGCCAGCAGCCGCGGUAAUACGGAGGAUGCAAGCGUUAUCCGGA